GAAUGCGUACGCAGACGAAUAUCAACAAUAUUUUUGAGGGCUCAAGGCGUUUCAAUAAUGGGAUAGAAUAUCGUCAACACCGGUUAUUUGUCAUCUUGAUAUGAAAAUGGAGACUGAAGAGGACUCGGAUGAAUGCAGAUCUAGCUUUAGUACAUCUAGCAGCGAUGAAGCAGACAGUACCUGUACGGCUGAAGAAGAUAAGGAGCAAUGUUGCUCUGUAUCCCACAAUUUACCCUGGCGUCAACAGGGCAAUAACCAGACAGAAAUGCACCGAUCUGUCAAAAAACUGGGGGCAAUCGUUACCGACGGUGAUAUAAUACCUGGACAUCAUGCACAGCCUGUUGUUUUCCAAGAGAACACAUUCAAUGUGGAGUUUCAAGGAGCUCCCAAAUAUCUUACCCUUGGAGAAGGAAACAAAAUUGAGCAGAAUAAGCGUGAUGAUAAAAAGAGCCUGGCACAAAGGAUUCGAGAUAAAACAGAAACAAAUAUUAAACAGUGUUCAAAGACAACUGUUGAUACUCAUGGCCUGUCUGAAGUCAUGGUCGCAAUUGGGAAUGGGUCAUCUCUUGUGAUUAUCACAGGAUCACAAGGUGAUGGAAAGACAACAAUCGCAAAAAGAGCCAUGUCAAAGCUGCAAGCAAAAGGGAAACAAAUAUUUCAAAUAUUCACACCAGACCAUCUCUCUGAAGUUGGUCUCUACGUCAGUGAGCCAGUCAUUAUGUUGGAUGACAUAUGUGGAAAGAUAAACUUUGAUGAAAGCAAAUGGAAAGGAUGGGAACCUGCCCUGAACAUUAUAUUUACGGAGACAGACAAAAACAGUAUCGUUCUGAUUGUUUGCAACAACUUCGUUCUUCAAGAAUGGUCGCGGUGCAUUGAGCAUUUACCUGUGAAACACGUAUCCACAGUUGAUGUAUCACAGAUUCGAAGAACAUAUCAGGAAAAGGAAAAUAUUUUGUCAGCAUUGGAACAGAAGCUUUAUAUGAAAAUUGAUCCAGAGAAACGCAGACAAAUAUGUGAAUGGGAUAGCCAUGGCUUUCCGAAAUUGUGUGAAAUGUUUCUGGAAAUGUACAAGAGUAACAGCUCUUCCCAAAUAGUGUCAGUAUUCCGACUUCCAACACCGUUAGACGAACACGAUGCCAUGCAUGUUUUGAAGCAAACGAGCAAGAGAAUGCUCUUGAAAAAGCUGCUUGAGAACCAAGGUGAAUUAGACGUAUAUCAAGAGACUUGUUCUGAACGUAGGUAUGAUCUCACAGAGACAGCUAGAAAUCUUGAUGGAAUAUACUUAUACAAGAGGGACGGUGUGUUCGAAUUCCGCUUGGAAUAUAUGCAUGACCUCGUGGCAUCAGCCUUUUGGGAACUCGACCCAAGGUUCGUCAUUGACAACUGCAAGAUGACAUUCAUAAGCAGGACAUUGCAACUGCAGUCUCAACAACCUUCUGGUACGGCCACAAAGUUCCUUUUUUAUUCCAGACUAUCUAUGCAAGUAUCUCCUGGCAAGAUUUACAACGGAAAUUUGCAAAGGCAAUAUAUAUUUGGCACUCUCACACAGAGCAUGCAGAUGGGAACCUUUCGCAAAGCAGCUGAUGACUUCUCUACUUCGCAACAACAAUUCAUCAAUGCAAAGUGUUGUCUCCCUGACGGAUGCUACUCACAAACUGACAUUUGCCUACCUAUCAACAAGCAAUGGUAGUUUUCACAUUUUGAAAAGCAUAGUUGACCACAUAGAACCAAUUACUGCUGAGCUUCUAAAGGAGGUCGUGUUUGGUAUUUGUGAUGCUGCAUCAGUUGGUGGGUUGCAAUAUCUGAAAGACAAAAAACUCGAAUUUGAUAUCAAUGUCAGAAAUGAUGAUUAUCAAACCCCUAUCAUGGUGGCUGCCAAUACGAAGGAGAGUACUUUCGUCAUGGAAGUGCUAGCAAUCAACCCUGACGUUAAUGUACUCGAUUGUGUGGGCAGGUCAGUACUUCACUACAUCUGCGAAAAUGGACUGGCAAGAGCAAUGAAACAGAUUGCAUGUGAUAUAACAGAUGUUGACAGGAAGGACAAGUCUGGACGUACAGCUCUUUCCAGUGCUUGUGAAUACGGACACAUUGACAUAGUGAAGGAACUCCUUAAGAUGGAUGCCAACAUAGACGUGCAAUCCUUGCACGAGUCUUGCAAGUCAAAGAAAGCAGACAUUCUCGGAUUGUUAUUUGCAGAAGGAGCAUCUGUUGAUGUAUUGUCGGAGGAUGGUGACACCCUUCUUCACUCGGCAUGUGAAGGAGGCAAAGAGGUGAUAGAUCUACUACUACAAAAAGGUUUACAUAUCAACAAGCCUGGCUUCAAAGGAAGAACUCCUCUUGACAAGGCAAUAGGACAGAAAAAUGAAACUAUCGCAAAAUACUUGGAAGAGAAAGGUGGUAAACGCAACGCAAAUCUGUCAUCUUAGCGUAUCCCAACAAGCUCUACCAAGUAAAGGUCUUGACAAAUCUAAGUGGUUUAUGUUGAAAUAAUUCAGUGUUAUAUCUAUAUCAAAUCAACGUAGGAAACAUCUUUUCUAUCACAAGGGAUAUUUAUUCUAUCACAAAAUCUACAAAUCUGGAUACUUGUAAUAAUGUCCAAUCUUUCCUGCCAUCGUAUGCCGUGUGGUAUAGAGUGAUGCUCAUGCUGUUGAUCACUGGAUUGUCAGGACCAGACUCGAUUAUCUGGAAUAAUAGCUGGAAUAUUGCCGAGAUCGGCGUCAAACAACAAGCAAGAAAAAUGUUUAACAUUUAGCGUUGUACAUAGUAGGAGCAGAAGUCAUGGUGGUGGUUUUGUGUUUAAACAUAUUUCACGGACAUACCAGGUCAAAUGGGAUGGCCAAAUUCCUCCAGCUGAGACGAUCCUCUCAAUAAACAUUCAUACCGAUAGAGGCCAAAUGUGUGGUUAUUGAACAUUGUCAUAAAUAACACACUAAGUGCUACACCGGGUAAUCAUUGUCUGCUGGGUGAACAGAGGCCAUUUUGAACGAACUCACUUGCCUAAGGUGAGACCACAUGUAUCACAUGUGCUUCGUUGUGGGACAGGACUGAAGAAACUCUCAGGAGUCAAGCUGCCAAUCACAGUCACCCAGUUACAAGUUAUCUACUUUCGUGUAACAUACAUACAUACAUACAUACAUACAUACAUACAUACAUACAUACAUACAUACAUACAUACAUACAUACAUACAUACAUACAUACAUACACUCAUACACACAUACAAGUGUAUGUUGCAGUAUAACUGAGUAGAACUAUUGUUUUGAAAACCAAACAGUAUAUUUUCUAUUGUGAAUUUUAUUUUGCCCUCAGCCACUGAUUUAAGCCAUAUGGUCAGCCACAUAGUAACAUUCACUAAAUACAUUAACAAUUGUUUCUGGUUCCGCUUCAAAGAAUGUACAUAGAAUUAAAUUUGUAUACCCACUUUUACACAAAAAAUACAUUUGUGGAGGAAAAUAUUGUACAACUAUCUGUGAAAUCUUAAAUAAAUAUUUUGUAAUA
rnacentral:misc_RNA from 1 species